rnacentral:misc_RNA from 1 species
CACAAUUACAUUUACGACAACAAAAAGGAAAAGGGAACAAGAGUUUAGUUCUAUGUGUUAUAUUGAAUCAAACUUGAUCAAUUCCAUGGAACUAAAAAUUAUGCUGUCUACUUCAUUGAAUUGAUUUUGAUAGCUUGCCAUCAAUGAAUAUGAAGUUGAAACUGAAGUCGCAAUCUAUUAAAAUUCCCACUGCUGAAUUCAAAAUAUAGUAUGCCACUUACUAUCAACCACACAAAACACACACAUGAAUAGAGUCUUCAGCCACACAGUUAAGGGGAAAAACAAUCAGAAAUUUGACUAUAGCACAAAAAUCCCUAACAAGAUUUCAAGUCUUACGCUACACAUCGUACAUGAAGCUAAACCAGAUCCAUUGCUCCUACAUUUCCACACCCUAACCUAAGAUCUGAGCAUCAUCUCCUUUAUUGGACUUCUACAGAAACCAAACACAAGAAUUGAACUCGCCAGCCAAUUCACAGCACAGAAAUCUGUUUGUUAUUCCAACAUUGUGCACCUAAGCCAGUAAUAAGCUCAUAAUAGUAUAAACACCAAAAUUAAGCCACCAAUUCAACUUCCACAGACAUGUAAAUUUUGGUAUACGAUGCCAAAGCUACAUGAUUCUAAAGAUCUAGUAGAUUUGCGCAUACAAAACGCACAAUGCACAUUUCAUAAAAACUAUAAGUUUCAAAACCAGGUUUCGAAAUCCAAUUCUGAUUCAAACGCACACCUUAGAGAC